GACGAACGCUGGCGGCGUGCUUAACACAUGCAAGUCGAACGGAAAGGCCCUGCUUUUGUGGGGUGCUCGAGUGGCGAACGGGUGAGUAACACGUGAGUAACCUGCCCUUGACUUUGGGAUAACUUCAGGAAACUGGGGCUAAUACCGGAUAGGAGCUCCUGCUGCAUGGUGGGGGUUGGAAAGUUUCGGCGGUUGGGGAUGGACUCGCGGCUUAUCAGCUUGUUGGUGGGGUAGUGGCUUACCAAGGCUUUGACGGGUAGCCGGCCUGAGAGGGUGACCGGCCACAUUGGGACUGAGAUACGGACCAGACUCCUACGGGAGGCAGCAGUGGGGAAUAUUGCACAAUGGGCGGAAGCCUGAUGCAGCAACGCCGCGUGCGGAAUGACGGCCUUCGGGUUGUAAACCGCUUUCGCCUGUGACGAAGCGUGAGUGACGGUAAUGGGUAAAGAAGCACCGGCUAACUACGUG
rnacentral:rRNA from 1 species